AUAGGUCAGAGAUGUAAGCAUGGCAACAUGUUAAGUUGACUGAUACUAAUAAGUCGAGGGCUUGACCAAAA
rnacentral:rRNA from 1 species